GGGUUGUGAGGUUAAGUGACUAAGCGUACACGGUGGAUGCCCUGGCAGUCAGAGGCGAUGAAGGGCGUGCUAAUCUGCGAUAAGCGUCGGCAAGGUGAUAUGAACCGUUACACCCGACGAUACCCGAAUGGGGAAACCCGGUGCACUUGUGCAUCAUUGCAGCAUGAAUACAUAGUGCUGCAAGGCGAACCGGGGGAACUGAAACAUCUAAGUACCCCGAGGAAAAGAAAUCAACCGAGAUUCCCCCAGUAGCGGCGAGCGAACGGGGAGGAGCCCGGAACCAUCAUCAGUUUGUGCCUCAGUGGAAGCGUCUGGAAAGUCGCAGGAUACAGGGUGAUACUCCCGUACAUGAAGGUGCACAUACUGUGAGUUCGAAGAGUAGGGCGGGACACGUGGUAUCCUGUCUGAAUAUGGGGGGACCAUCCUCCAAGGCUAAAUACUCCUGACUGACCGAUAGUGAACCAGUACCGUGAGGGAAAGGCGAAAAGAACCCCGGCGAGGGGAGUGAAACAGAACCUGAAACCGUGUACGUACAAGCAGUGGGAGCACCUUUAUGGUGUGACUGCGUACCUUUUGUAUAAUGGGUCAGCGACUUGUAUUCUGUAGCAAGGUUAACCGUAUAGGGGAGCCGCAGGGAAACCGAGUCUUAAUUGGGCGUUAAGUUGCAGGGUACAGACCCGAAACCCGGUGAUCUAGCCAUGGGCAGGUUGAAGGUUGGGUAACACUAACUGGAGGACCGAACCGACUAAUGUUGAAAAAUUAGCGGAUGACCUGUGGCUGGGGGUGAAAGGCCAAUCAAACCGGGAGAUAGCUGGUUCUCCCCGAAAGCUAUUUAGGUAGCGCCUCGUGAACUCAUCUGCGGGGGUAGAGCACUGUUUCGGCCAGGGGGCCAUCCCGGCUUACCGAUCCGAUGCAAACUCCGAAUACCGCAGAAUGUUAUCACGGGAGACACACGGCGGGUGCUAACGUCCGUCGUGAAGAGGGAAACAACCCAGACCGCCAGCUAAGGUCCCAAAGUCAUGGUUAAGUGGGAAACGAUGUGGGAAGGCCCAGACAGCCAGGAUGUUGGCUUAGAAGCAGCCAUCAUUUAAAGAAAGCGUAAUAGCUCACUGGUCGAGUCGGCCUGCGCGGAAGAUGUAACGGGGCUAAACCAUGCACCGAAGCUGCGGCAGCGGCGCGCAAGCGCUGUUGGGUAGGGGAGCGUUCUGUAAGCCGUCGAAGGUGUGCUGUGAGGCAUGCUGGAGGUAUCAGAAGUGCGAAUGCUGACAUAAGUAACGAUAAAGCGGGUGAAAAGCCCGCUCGCCGGAAGACCAAGGGUUCCUGUCCAACGUUAAUCGGGGCAGGGUGAGUCGACCCCUAAGGCGAGGCCGAAAGGCGUAGUCGAUGGGAAACGGGUUAAUAUUCCCGUACUUGGUGUUGCUGCGAAGGGGGGACGGAGAAGGCUAUGUCAUCCGGGCGACGGUUGUCCCGGUUUAAGCGUGCAGGUGUGUGAACCAGGCAAAUCCGGUUCACUUUACACUGAGGCGUGAUGACGAGGCACUACGGUGCUGAAGUGACAAAUGCCCUGCUUCCAGGAAAAGCCUCUAAGCAUCAGGCAACACGAAAUCGUACCCGAAACCGACACAGGUGGUCAGGUAGAGAAUACCAAGGCGCUUGAGAGAACCCGGGUGAAGGAACUAGGCAAAAUGGUGCCGUAACUUCGGGAGAAGGCACGCUGGCGCGUANNNNNNNNNNNNNNNNNNNNNNNNNNNNNNNNNNNNNNNNNNNNNNNNNNNNNNNNNNNNNNNNNNNNNNNNNNNNNNNNNNNNNNNNNNNNNUGCGUAGGUGGAGGGACCUGCUCCCCGAGCCGAAGCCAGUCGAAGAUACCAGCUGGCUGCAACUGUUUAUUAAAAACACAGCACUGUGCAAACACGAAAGUGGACGUAUACGGUGUGACGCCUGCCCGGUGCCGGAAGGUUAAUUGAUGGGGUUAUCCGUAAGGAGAAGCUCCUGAUCGAAGCCCCGGUAAACGGCGGCCGUAACUAUAACGGUCCUAAGGUAGCGAAAUUCCUUGUCGGGUAAGUUCCGACCUGCACGAAUGGCGUAAUGAUGGCCAGGCUGUCUCCACCCGGGACUCAGUGAAAUUGAACUCGCUGUGAAGAUGCAGUGUACCCGCGGCAAGACGGAAAGACCCCGUGAACCUUUACUACAGCUUGACACUGAACACUGAACGUUGAUGUGCAGGAUAGGUGGGAGGCUUUGAAGCGUGGACGCCAGUCUGCGUGGAGCCAUCCUUGAAAUACCACCCUUUAACGUUUGGUGUUCUAACCUUGCGCCGUGAUCCGGCGCGGGGACAGUGUCUGGUGGGUAGUUUGACUGGGGCGGUCUCCUCCCAAAGCGUAACGGAGGAGCACGAAGGUUGGCUAAUCCUGGUCGGACAUCAGGAGGUUAGUGCAAUGGCAGAAGCCAGCCUGACUGCGAGAGUGACGGCUCGAGCAGGUGCGAAAGCAGGUCAUAGUGAUCCGGUGGUUCUGAAUGGAAGGGCCAUCGCUCAACGGAUAAAAGGUACUCCGGGGAUAACAGGCUGAUACCGCCCAAGAGUUCAUAUCGACGGCGGUGUUUGGCACCUCGAUGUCGGCUCAUCACAUCCUGGGGCUGAAGCAGGUCCCAAGGGUACGGCUGUUCGCCGUUUAAAGUGGUACGCGAGCUGGGUUUAGAACGUCGUGAGACAGUUCGGUCCCUAUCUGCCGUGGGCGCUGGAGAAUUGAGGGGGGUUGCUCCCAGUACGAGAGGACCGGAGUGAACGCACCGCUGGUGUUCGGGUUGUCACGCCAGUGGCAUUGCCCGGUAGCUAAGUGCGGAAAAGAUAAGCGCUGAAAGCAUCUAAGCGCGAAACUUGCCCCGAGAUGAGUUCUCCCUGAGGCUUUAAGCCUUCUGAAGGGACGUUGAAGACGACGACGUUGAUAGGCCGGAUGUGUAAGCGCAGCGAUGCGUUGAGCUGACCGGUACUAAUGACCCGUGAGGCUUAACCUUACAACGCCAGAGGCGUUC
rnacentral:rRNA from 1 species